GCGUUCCGUCAUGAUAAUUGGAAUUGCUUGCGUGAGAAGGAUCUGAGGUGGUAGUAAAGCCUAUGUAGUCAACAAUAGGUUAAAAUUUCUCCUCAAUUGAGACCAAUAUCUACGUGAAAUGUUUCAAACGGACGUACAAUAAGUUGUUACAUAAAUCGACACCUGUAUGGCUGACCCAAUCUUUUUAUGAUUAUCGCUCAGUAGGAGGCUACCAAUAACGGAUGGACAAUCACCACACUUUGCUAUACCUGAUGUACAUGUGAAACGAUUGAUUGUACUGUUUUUAGGUUUGCUGUAUUAUUUGGAGCGAUUGUAGAGUUUAUUGAAAAGCGUCAUUACCAGGAGCUGUAGCCAAUCUCAAAAUGUAACAUUUUUGGGAGAGACCCAACAAUACUUGACGGACCGAGUAUCUUUGCGAACGGCACCAAUGUUUCAUCCUACAUUACAUCUACCUCGAAUUUUAAUCAAAAUUUAAUGGAACAUUCUUUUGGUUCAAAUUAGGGUCUCCGAUACCGACUACUUUUGUUGAGUACCGAUUUUACGCAUCCUACGCAUUCUAGCAGUCAGUAUCGGUAAAAUGGUACUGAUAUUUUUUGUUCUAAAUAAACCGAGCAAUAACGCA